rnacentral:rRNA from 1 species
AGCAGUCAGACAGUGUGAGAUAAGUUUCAUUGUCAAAAGGGAAACAGCCCAGACCUACAGCUAAGGUCCCAAAUGUAUGCUAAGUGGAAAACGAUGUGGAGUUGCGAAAACAACCAGGAUGUUGGCUUAGAAGCAGCCACUCAUUAAAAGAGUGCGUAAUAGCUCACUGGUCGAGUGACUCUGCGCGGAAAAUAUAACGGGGCUAAGUAUGCAACCGAAGCUUAGGAUGUCCGCAAGGGCGUGGUAGGGGAGCGUCGUGUACGGGGUGAAGUCGCAGCGGAAGCAGCGGUGGACUGUACAGGAGUGAGAAUGCCGGAAUGAGUAGCGAGAAUUAUGUGGGAAUCAUAAUGGCCGAAAAUCUAAGGUUUCUUGGGGAAGGUUCGUCCGCCCAAGGUAAGCCGGGAGCUAAGGCGAGGCCGCGAGGCGUAGUCGAUGCACAUACGGUAGAAAUUCCGUAGCCACCGAACUUUAAACCAGAAGGACACUUUCAGAUAGCGGGACCCAGCCGUUGGUAGAGCUGGGCGCAAGGGACCGAAAUAUAGUAGGGAAGUCCGCGAUGCUGGGAGGCGAGAAAAGCUCUGGUGUACACUAAGGUGCCCGUACCGCAAACCGACACAGGUAGAUGAGGAGAGAAUCCUAAGGCCAACGGGAGAAGGGUUGUUAAGGAACUCGGCAAAUUGACCCCGUAACUUCGGAAGAAGGGGAGCCUCGAAAGAGGCCGCAGUGAAUAGGCCCAAGCAACUGUUUACCAAAAACACAGGUCUAUGCUAAAUCGAAAGAUGACGUAUAUGGGCUGACGCCUGCCCGGUGCCGGAAGGUUAAGAGGAGAGCUUAGCGCAAGCGAAGGUUUGAAUUGAAGCCCCGGUAAACGGCGGCCGUAACUAUAACGGUCCUAAGGUAGCGAAAUUCCUUGUCAGGUAAGUUCUGACCCGCACGAAUGGCGUAAUGAUUUGGGCACUGUCUCAACAGCCCGCCCGGCGAAAUUGUAGUACUGGUGAAGAUGCCAGUUACCCGCAACUAGACGGAAAGACCCCAUGGAGCUUUACUGCAGUUUAAUACUGGGAAUCGGUAAUUCAUGUACAGGAUAGGUGGGAGACUGAGAAGCAUGGCCGUCAGGUCGUGUGGAGUCACCGGUGGGAUACCACUCUUGGAUUGCUGGUUUCCUAACCUGCGGCCCUGAAUCGGGUCGGGGGACACUGUUAGACGGGCAGUUUGACUGGGGCGGUCGCCUCCAAAAGAGUAACGGAGGCGCUCAAAGGUUCGUUCAGCACGGACGGAAAUCGUGCAUUGAGUGUAAACGCAUAAACGAGCCUAACUGCGAGACCGACGGGUCGAGCAGUAACGAAAGUUGGAGUUAGUGAUCCGGUGGUAUGUGAGUGGAAAUGCCAUCGCUCAACGGAUAAAAGCUACCCUGGGGAUAACAGGCUGAUCUCCCCCAAGCGU